rnacentral:sRNA from 1 species
GAAUCAUAGCAAAAAAAUCAUUAAGGAAUCGAACCAUCAGGAAGGUGGCUCAGGGACGAAAAGGUAUAGGCAGGUUUGCCGGAUACUAUCAGUAUAAUGAUCUUUUAAGGAGUAACUGACAGGGAUGUAUUUUAUCAGGGAAUGAGCAGGAAGCGACCAAUUUAGCAGGACUGCUAUGACAAUCAAAUAAGAGGGGAGAUUUUGUCUCCCCUCUUAUUUUGUG